rnacentral:misc_RNA from 1 species
CAUCCACAAAUGGAUAAGACCUGGUCUUAGUGUAUACGAGUAUUUGAAAUAAAAAAAAGGAGCAAUAACCUCUUUCUUGUUCUAUCAAGAGGGCGGUAUUGCUCCUUUUUUAUUUUAUUUAGUAGUAUUUGACUUACAUAUUUUCGUUAAAUGAAAAAAACAUGGGUUGGGUCAUACUUAAGUUCAUACUUUAGUAUUGUGCUGUUGUUCUGUAUUAAUAUAGCAUUUUGAUAACCUCUUCCCAAUCUUUUCUGAAAUUGUGUGUUUUUUAUUUUUAUAUUAAAUAAUAAAAAAUAGAGAAAAUUUUGAAAUAUUUUCUUUACYUAAGAUUUGUAUCUCAGAAAUCAUAAAAAAAUGAUGAAUGUUUGUAAUGUAAAUACUAGUUGUAAUCUAAAUACUAGUAGGGGGCGGAUG